rnacentral:lncRNA from 1 species
UCCUUAUCAACCAGAUAAAUCAUUCUUAUAUAUCUAUGAACUUCUUUAAUAGAUACAUGAUUCUUUUGUAUCUCCAUUAACAUCAUCAUUUCAACCUUUAUUGACGAAUCCCCAAACUCCCUUCAUACUCCACCCCUAACUCCCUCUAUCUUUAUCUCAGGCCACCGUCGCUAGUAAACCCUAAGUGGAGAAUCGCCAAAUAGACCCCAACUCCGUCUCUUAUCUCACCACGCAUUUAUAACCUCAUCCUGCUCCGAUCAGCAUCGCAUUACCAAUGAAACUCCCUUGAAAAAACACUAUCUCCACCUAGAAAAGAAUGUCAUUCAAACUGCCACUUGUGGCAAACCCAUUCAUAAUUACCAUUGAAACACAAUGUUUGAGUUUGCAAUAAUAGCGGCUAUAGCGAGAGAACUCCAAAAUUCAAGUUUGUUGUUAAGAUUUGAGAACAUGUGACGGAAUGGAAUGGGUAUAUUGAUGGGUUUGGUAUAAAAAAAAUAAUUGAAUGAAAUGAAUUGAAUUUGCGAUUUGGCAAAAUAUGGGGUCUAUUUGGCGAGAAAGUGGGGACAUUCUGAUGUAUCCAAAGUUUUGGAGUGAGAAAAUGUAAGAAGAGAUUUUCAUA